rnacentral:lncRNA from 1 species
CGACGCUUGUCGGCGCACAGCCUGCGGCGCGCGCUUUCUUCGGCCGCAAAUUUAUUUCCCCAAUGUAUGCUUACACACCUGUAUUUGCUCGUUGUGCGCGCAGAGGGUGUCCUUCAGGCGGAGAAGGACUUCAACCUCAAGGAGCACCCGGAGAUCCCCGGCGUGCCCAACCUGCAGGUCAUUAAGCUCAUGCAGAGCUUCAAGUCCCAGGAGCUGGUGACUGAGCGCUUCUCCUGGCGCCACUACUACUGGUGAGCGCGCGGCACACACACACGGGGCCGGGGGGGGGGGCGCCGAGCGCGCGGGGCAAUGUACUAACCACGCAGGGCGACGCCGCACACACAUUCUCUCGUCGUGUCC